GAAGGUGUGUCGCCGGCGAUUCUCUCUCAUCCGUUGCUGCUGGAAUGUCUCAGACGGUGUCGAUCCCCCGUGACAACACCUCCACAGAUGACAUCACCAAAAACGCCCAAGCAUCGUCGAAUGGGGUGGCUGCCGCUGCUACGAGGCUGAGGAUCUUCAUUAAGUUUUACUCAAUGUAUGGGCACGUGGAAGGCCUAGCAAGGAGGCUGAAGAAGGGCGUGGACGACGUUGAGGGAGUGGAAGUGGUUCUCUACAGGGUGCUGGAGUUGCUCCCGGCAGAGAUUCAGAUUGGCGGGAAUGAAGGGGAGUUUGAUGGAUGGAAGUGGUCGAGGCCUAAUGGAGGGCAUGGAAAACUAACAUCAGCACUGAAGACAUAAAAGAUUUAAACAAAAGAUUUUUCAUGUUUAGUGGACAGAGUGAUGGAAAAGAAUGACGUUUCUUUGGUUUCAUCCGGUGAUAAAUUAAGUUACUAUAUUGAGUGAUUAGAGGAGCUCGAGUCUUUUGCAGGUAGACAAGAUAGAAUCAUUUACAACGAAAAGCACAAUGACAAUCUUGGUAUUGUUCACCCAAAGGUAUAGAUGGAGCAUGAAAAAUGUGAUUUUGAUGUCAAUGAUUAUGGUGAGGAGGAUGAGGAGGAACAAGAAGAGGAAGAAAAUGGAGAGGAGAGAACACUUGAGGAAGACCAAAGUGGAUGAAAUAAUGAUGAGAUGGAAUAACUUAGAAAGUGUAUAAAGAUCUUUAUCACCAGGAGCUAUAGCAAUUAUUAACCUUUUAUUCUUAACAUUGAUUUAAUAAUAUUUGAUUCCAUCAUAUUUUCAGUUGUUUUAAUAGGUACAUGUGUAAGGACAUUAAGAAGAGUAUUUAUAAUUUGUGAUCAAGACAUGGCUGGUAGCCUCGUUGAUGAACUAAAUGAAUACCAGAUUUUUGAUCGAGUCCUCCCUUCCUCCUUUUAUUCCUUGCUUUUUUAA